GACGAACGCUGGCGGCGUGCUUAAUACAUGCAAGUCGAGCGGACCCAGCAGAUUGUCUCUGGUUUCCAGAGACAAUCUGCGACGGUUAGCGGCGAACGGGUGAGUAACGCGUGGGUAAUCUGCCCCCAAGACCGGGAUAACAGUGCGAAAGCGCUGCUAAUACCGGAUAAUCUCUUCUUGUCGCAUGAUAGGGAGAGCAAAGCUCCGGCGCUUGGGGAUGAGCCCGCGUUCCAUUAGCUAGUUGGUGAGGUAACGGCUCACCAAGGCGACGAUGGAUAGCCGGCCUGAGAGGGUGACCGGCCACACUGGGACUGAGACACGGCCCAGACUCCUACGGGAGGCAGCAGUAGGGAAUUUUCGGCAAUGGGGGAAACCCUGACCGAGCAACGCCGCGUGGGGAAGAAGGCCUCGGUCGUAAACCUCUGUCUUUGGGUACGGAGUAAUAGACGGUACCCGGACGGAGGGAAGCCCCGGCCGUAACUAACGUGCCACGCAGCCGCGGUAAAGUAACGUCUAU
rnacentral:rRNA from 1 species